rnacentral:lncRNA from 1 species
CGAUCUCGGCUCACUGCAACCUCUGCCUCCCGUGUUCAAGCGAUUCUCCCACCUCAGCCUCCUGAGUAGCUGGGACUACAGGCAUGUGCCACCACGUCCAGCUAAUUUUUUGUAUUUUUAGUAGAGAUGGGGUUUCACCAUGCUAGCCAGGCCACAGCAUCACGGAGAGCCUUGUAUUCAUCGCCGUACACCAGGUACCUAUCCAUCUGGCCUGGGUGGUCCUGCUGCAGCCCCUGGAAUACAGAGGUUAGUUGGGGGUGAACAAUGGGAGGAAUGUCUUGCAAAGAACCGUCCGAACGGGUACAGGAACCAGGUGGUCGAUCAUUCGAGGUUUAAAGGCAGCCAAGCUGGGAUUCCCCGACCUGGCCUGAGGCAGGACAGUCUGGUGCCCUCUUCGCAGGGAGCUUCCUCCUCAGUAGACGAAGAGGUGCAAGUGCAGGGAACGCCUGCCGACGGCAGCGCUACCUGGGGAGGUGCUUGCUUCCUCCGUUUGCGGCGCACCGCGCCACACCUGAGGCCGGGUGGCUCAAGUCAUGUCAACUCUAAACCCCAGGUGGUAGUCAAACAGUGCUGGGGUUCUUAGUACCAUUUUUGUAUCCCCUGGACAAUAGGAAUUUGUUAAUUUCUGGGUAUCUGGAAAGGACCACUGAGAGGCCUUGAAGCCUCUUUUUUUUUUUUUUUUUUNNNNNNNNNNNNNNNNNNNNNNNNNNNNNNNNNNNNNNNNNNNNNNNNNNNNNNNNNNNNNNNNNNNNNNACUUCUGCCUCCCGGGUUCAAGUGAUUCUCCUGCCUCAGCCUCCCGACUAGCUGGGAUUACAAGCACCCACCAUCACGUCCAGCUAAUUUUUUUGUUUCUUUGAAGUAGAGACAAGGUUUCACCAUGUUGGCCAGGCUGGUCUUGACAAACUCCUGACCACAAGUGAUCCGCCCGCCUCGGCCUCCCAAAGUGCUGGAAUUACAGGUGUGAGCCACUGCGCCCAGCCUGGCCUUGAAGCCUCUUAUGCAAUUCUUCUAUUCCUAGUUCUUGCUCUUGCCUGUCUCUGCCUGCCAGAGGUAAAAAGGUCACACCUUGCAAGCUGAACUACGUUUAAUUUGCUGAAAGCAAAGUCCACAAAAAUGUUCUACUUUCCUUGAGUGAAAUUCAAUUAGAAGUGAUGCCUAAUUAAAGAAGCUCUGAGGUGAGUGCCCUCACCUUGGCCCUACAGCAGGCAGUGUAAACAUGAUCACAAGCUGGGGCAAAUCAGCUGAAGCACAGAGACAAAGGACCAGACAGACAAGCGCAGGUUUGCUUUCUGGCUCUGGGGAUGCUAAGGGCAGGCGGAACGCAGAAGCAGUGGCACCAUCCCUGGGUGUGAGGGUGAGGUGUGGGGGUGUGUUGGUGGGUGGUGUGAGGGUGUGGGGGUUAUGAGGGUAUGUGGUGGGGAGGGUGUGAGGGGGUGGGGUGUGGGGGGGGUAGGGUGUGAGGGUAGGGGGGUGUGUGGCGUGUGGGUUUGGGGUGUAUGGGGCUGUGGGGGUGCAUGUUUGUGUGCUGCCGGGCCCCGCUUCUCACCUGCUGCUUGACAACGUCCUUGGGAAACACCCACUGGUGCGGGCGGCCGGGCUUGGAGAGGCCCUGCACGAACUCCAUCCCCCGCUGGCUGCUGAGCUUCCGCACCAGGUACACCCGGUGCCAGUCGUUCUCCACCCGGAUACAGAACUGCUUGACUUGCUGCAGGUAGCACUGCUUCUCC